rnacentral:rRNA from 1 species
GAUGAACGCUGGCGGCGUGCCUAAUACAUGCAAGUCGAGCGAACAGACGAGGAGCUUGCUCCUCUGACGUUAGCGGCGGACGGGUGAGUAACACGUGGAUAACCUACCUAUAAGACUGGGAUAACUUCGGGAAACCGGAGCUAAUACCGGAUAAUAUAUUGAACCGCAUGGUUCAAUAGUGAAAGACGGUUUUGCUGUCACUUAUAGAUGGAUCCGCGCCGCAUUAGCUAGUUGGUAAGGUAACGGCUUACCAAGGGAACGAUGCGUAGCCGACCUGAGGGAGGGAUCGGCCACACUGGAACUGAGACACGGUCCAGACUCCUACGGGAGGCAGCAGUAGGGAAUCUGCCGCAAUGGGCGAAAGCCUGACGGAGCAACGCCGCGUGAGUGAUGAAGGUCUUCGGAUCGUAAAACUCUGUUAUUAGGGAAGAACAAAUGUGUAAGUAACUAUGCACGUCUGGACGGUACCUAAGCAGAAAGCCACGGCUAACUACGU